GGGCUUGUGGCGCAACUGGUUGACGCGCUGGAUUUAGGUUCCAGUUUCUUCGGAUAUGUGGGUUCGAAUCCCAUCAAGCCCAC
rnacentral:tRNA from 1 species